rnacentral:lncRNA from 1 species
AGAAUUUGGAGAUGGUGGCCAGAAGCUGCAGCCAUGACUCAGUAAGAAGGGGAAAAGUGCUGCUGUGAUGUUACCUGGAACUGCAUUUAACUUAAACUAGCACAGUGCCUUGCUCUUCUGUGACCUUUACCCAUCAGGACUUAUUAGCUAAUUGAAUUCAGAAGGCAAUGAAAACACUGUGAGCACAGGCCUUGAUGUCUGGACCCUUCAACAGACCUUGGAACCCACUUCACCUUCCAGGCUGGAUGUUCUUGUUGCACAAAGAUUUCCUGAAGGUUUGGUGUCAUGGAAACAGCUUCUUCAUUUGGAAAGCUCUGCGGCAGUGUGAGAAGGAAAAGACUGGAGAGGGCGAGAGGAAGAGGGAGCGCAGGAGCACGGCCGUGCAGCCUUCCCAACAUCAGCGGCUCCCUGCCUCCCUCCCUCCCUCCCUUCCCCGGAGACAAGGGAGCGAACAGGAGGGCAGGGCUCCCGCGCUGCCUGCCUUACCUCGCUCUGCAAUAAUGCAAAUCAUUCCCCCUUUGCUGUUUGUCAUCGCCAAGACUGCAUGUGGUUUAUUUUGUAGUUAAUGCACAGUGUAGUUCUAAACACUUUUUAAGGGAAUUUUUUGUACCAAAGGGAUGUGUUUAUAUAUCUAUAUAUUAAUAUAUUUACACAUACAUAUAUAUAUAUAUGUGAUGUAUUUUUGUAAAUGGACU